GUCGUUGUAGUAUAGUGGUAGUAUUCUGCCUGUCACGCGGGUGACCCGGAGUUCGAUCCCCGGCAACGGCG
rnacentral:tRNA from 1 species